CGGUAAGUGGAGGGAAGAUGCAGUGGUAAGACGAGGGUUGGAGGAGUUGUGCGGAAUGAUUGGGCGUAAAGGGGAGGUAGGUGGUCUCAUUUGUCGGAGGUGAAAUCAUUGGGCUUAACGCAAGAAGUGCGUCAGAAACGGUGAGACUGGAGUCGUGGAGAGGGUCGUGGAAUUCCCGGUGUAGCGGUGAAAUGCGUAGAGAUCGGGAGGAACACCAGAGGCGAAGGCGGCGACCUGGACAAGUACUGACACUCAACUACGAAAGCGUGGGGAGCAAACAGGAUUAGAUACCCCAGUAGUC
rnacentral:rRNA from 1 species